UACGUAGGGUGCGAGCGUUAAUCGGAAUUACUGGGCGUAAAGUGUGCGCAGGCGGCCGCGCAAGUCGAGUGUGAAAGCCCCGAGCUUAACUUGGGAACUGCGCUCGAAACUACGUGGCUGGAGUGUGGCAGAGGAAGGUGGAAUUCCAGGUGUAGCGGUGAAAUGCGUAGAGAUCUGGAGGAACACCGAUGGCGAAGGCAGCCUUCUGGGCCAACACUGACGCUCAUGCACGAAAGCGUGGGGAGCGAACAGG
rnacentral:rRNA from 1 species